ensembl:snRNA U6 U6 spliceosomal RNA
GUGCUUGCUUCAGCAGCUUAUACACUAAAAUUGGAAUGUUACAGAGAAAAUUAGCAUGGCCCUUGCACAAUGGAGACAUGCAAAUUCAUAAAGUGUUCCAUGUUUUU